rnacentral:lncRNA from 1 species
CCUACAAAAAUCUACAAGCUAUCUAGCAAGGAACUUUGUAAGUGCUUGGCUUUGACUCAGUUAUUUUUACUGACUAAAUUAUUCUGGAUUGAAGGAUGGCAUCUUUGUUUUAGCACGAUAAAUAGAAAUUUCUUAUAUUGCUAUGAAUGAGCUUAAUGUUGGGUAUAUUUGUACCUUGUGGAAGUUAAAUUAGUACUGCAUAGCACAUGGAAGACUGUUAAAUGGUUAAUAGUUUUUACCACCGGUAACUAUCACUCCCAUCGACAGCUGGAUCUCUAGGAAACUUUUGUAUUUGCUAGCAACUGGAGACAAGGGAAUUAAAUGGAUCCUCGACAUGAAGGCUUGAUUCUCAUCUAUGGUGCACCGACACGGACACGUGUGCCGAUACGAUACGUUUCGGAUACGUCGACUCGUAAUUUUUCAAAAAAGUACCGACACGACAUGUCGUCGACACGUUCAUUAAAUUCUAUAAAAUUCUUCAUUUAUAUAGUUUAAAUCUAGUUUUAUACUUAUUAUUGAUUUUUUUUUUUUGUUGAAAUCUUUUAAAUAUUAGUAUUUAUUUGUUAUUUAUUAAUAACUUUGAGUUAAAAAUAUAUAAUAACUACAGUAAGAAAGAAAAAUAAUUAUUGUAGAGUGUCCGAAGAGUGUCGGUAUCCACACGUGUCUAACACGUGUCGGACACAGACACGCUACCCUAGUUAGAGUGUCCUUGCUACAUAGAUUCUCAUAGUUGUGUUUCUUAAAAAUAUUGACAUGGAUAAAAAAGCACAAGAGAAAUGUAGAACUGUUUUAUCCCUGUAGGUUUAUUGGAGAUAAAAUGAAAGUAAACACAAGAAAAGAAAAUUUCUCAGAUGAAAAUCUAUAACAAACAUAACUGGAUAAUGACUUGUAUUUACACUUUAAACCCUAGUCGCAGACACUACUAGCCCCUACCGUGGAAUAUAAUAAAGUGAUGUAUUUAUCAACAUUCUAAUUCAAUCUUUCACUCAAAAUUUAUGGUAAUGAUACUAUAAAAGGAGUGUCAGUAAUGAACCUAAGAGAUGAAAAUCAUGCUGUUUCUGAAUAAAAUGUCCAGAAUCAGGAUUUUGCUGAUUAUGAAAAUGAAACAGUUACAAUAUUUUACAGUUAGCGAUACGAUUAAUGCUAAUUGCUAAAACUGUCAGAUAUUCAAUUUAAAAGAAUAUAGAAAUAACUUAUUUUAUGAUAUUUCUGAGUAGUUGUUACAAUAUAUAUGCCAUUUCUUUUCACCAUUCUGAUCAUACAUACGUGUCUUCCUCUGCAGAUGUGGGCCUCAUCCUGUAACUCUUUCAACAAUAUUCCUUAUGAGUUACUAUGUUCGGUUAUAAAGGAUCCUGAAUUGACUGUAGACAGGUUAUAAAUUUUUUAUUAUAAUCCCAGUGCAUUUUAUGUAAUGUCCACUUCCACACUAAUUACAGAUUUCUUUAAUCAGUGAGAAGCAUCUUUGUGAAGCCAUUUUAGUUUGGCUUGAUGCGAAUGUAACUCAAUCAGAGGGCUGGAGUGAUGAAGAAGUAAGUCAUGCUGAUGUAUUAAAGCAGGUAUGACCUUAUGAGUGAGAGACUCUAAUACCUGAAGUCACACAUAAGGUUUCUGUUUGCGAGUGGAGGGAGAAGUUGGGGGUUGCGUGCAGUUGGGAAGGAGAAAGAGAAGAUAUAUCUAGUUGUUAUCACCACAUAAAAGUUGUAAACAAGGAUGAAUAUAUCUAAGAUGAUUUAAUUCCGAUGAAUGGGUAUACAGGUUUCAUGUAUCCACUGUAUUCUUCUGUACAGAGCCAUUCUGUCAGAGAUCCUGAAAAUUUGCUGCCAGUUGGUCAACACAUUAUUCAUAAAACACUCAAAUUGGGGUAAGAUGACUGCUGUUAUAGUUUAUGUGGAUGACAUUGUUGUGAUAGGUAAUGAUCUAGAAGAAAUUGAGAAAUUGAAAUUGAAAGAGAGAUUGGCAAAUUUAUACGAGAAAAAAGACUUGGGAAACUUUAUUAUUUCUGGGAAUUGAAGUUGCUCAAUCAAGAGAAGAAUUGUGAUUUUGCAGAAAAACAUAUUGGAUCUCCUCAAAGAAACUCGAAUGUCGGGGUGCAGACCCUUUGACACUCCAGUCGAAGUUGGAGACAAACUUGAUGAACUGAUAGUGUCCCAGUAGAGAAGGGAAGUAUCAACAUAUAGUAGGAAAAUUAAUCUAUUUAUCACAAAUUGGACUUGACAUAGUCUAGCCUUAUGAGUCAGUUAUGCAUAAUUCGAAGGAGAUAACAUGGAAACAUUGAUGAGGGUGCUUAGAUAUUUGAAGCUAACUCCAGGUAAAGGUAUUUUAUUUAACAAAAAAGCAAGAGUAAAAGUUAUUGUACCUUUUGUGGGGGAAAUUUGCUGACCUGGAGUAAAAAUUAGCCUGUUGUUUCUAGCUCUAGUGCAAAGGCUGAAUUCCAGGCUAUGGCACACGAGGUAUGUGAAUUCCUGUGGAUAAUAAUAAUAAUAAUAUUUGAUGACCUCAAAGUGGGCUGGGAAGGUCCAAUAAGACUCUAUGAUAACAAGUCAGCUAUUAGCAACGCUCAAAACCCUGUUCAGCAUUAUCAAUCUAAACACGUUGAAAUCGAUCACCACUUAAUCAAAGAAAAGUUAUACAGUGGUGUGGUUUGUACUUCUUACACAUCUAUUAAAAGACAAUUGGUCGACCUUCUAACAAAAGGACUUACAACUCUACCUUUUCACUCAAUUGCUGCCAAGCGGGGAAUGAAGAACAUCUCAGCUUGAGGAGGGGUGUAGGGAAAUCUAGAAAAUAUCAUGCAUUAUUUGCUGCCCUGAUAUUUUUUUUAUACCUUUUUUAUUUACAGCCUGUAUUCUUGGUAGAUUGUGAUUUAUUCAUAGCUGUAGAUCCCUAAAAUAUCUCUAGGCUAGAAAUAGGAUAUUUCCCUUUUCCAUGUUUUCUUUUUGUGUAAACAACUAUAUAUAUGCCUUGUGAAGUUAAGUCUGGCAUAUGAUUGAAAUAUUAACAUUCUACAAAAUAAUAUGAAGACAAACUACCACUAAUAUUAGAAUAAGCUUUGAUUGGAUUUAGGUUUACAAAUUCUAUCAGAUUGGAAGGAAGUGAGCUAGAAUUAUAGAUUAUAGAUUCUUCAGGAGAUCUUGUUCGUAAAUAAUGAAGAAGUUAGCUCUUGAACUCUAUCUUGCAUUAGAUUAUCAAUGAAGUGAGCUAUGUCAUUGUAUUUCGUAUUUUAAAGCAGGGGGUCAACUUUGAGCCGCACUGGGGGGAGUUACUCUAAGUCGUCAUUCUUAUGAACCUUCUAAUGCCAAGGAGAACAUUACAAGAGAGCAUCAAUUAUUUGUUCUUCAAUGGUUUACAGGAGAUUAGCGUAUAUUUUCAUAUCAUUUGAAACUAAUUAUUGUUGAAAAAGUCUAGUUGCUGGUUGUGCAAACUAAACUUUUUUUUCUUACACUUUAUUUCUUUCUGAAAAUUCUCAAGAUUUUUAAAGAUAUUACUUGCAAUCUAAAUAUGUUACAUUAAAUCAGUAAUGUAAAGAUAUAUGUUACAUUCUGGUAUGGUUGGUUAUGUCUUAGCUUGAUGUUAUCAUACUUUGAAAGCUGAAGUUUCGCAAUAUUUCCUGGCCAUGAAAAGGAAAUUCUGUUUCUCCUGUUAGAACAGUCUACAUCAGAAGUAUGUGCUUUUCAGUUUCCUGAAUUUUGAAUCUUUGUGGUGGCUAUUGGAGCACAUUGAUUUCUGUCCAUAAACCAGCUAUGUAGCAUGAAAAGCAAUCAACUAGAUAAUUGAUGAGUAUCACUAGAAAUGGAUACUAUACCUAUGCCAACAUAAUGACACUGGAGUGAAGGUUGGGUUUCCUUAUUGUUUUUGUUCUCUGAAGGGUGAGAGCGGUGUUGUGUCUAUAGAUAUUUGAUAGUCAUUGCAUGGUACAGCAGUCUAAAAAUUCACUGGAGCACCAUUAAAUAAUUUGUCUUUGGUUGAAACCUUCCAAAUUUCUUUCUUUUUAACAUUUUCAUGGUUUCUUGAACAGAUACGAACAUCACUUUUACCCUUGAAGUUUGUUGCUGGUGUGUUCUCUUCCGAUAUUUAUUUAAAGCCUUUCUGUAAUAAUUUAUUGAUGUGUCCUGUCUAUAACUUUCCAUAGAAACAUUUCUAUGCUGUAGGUAAACGAAAAUCCUGUUUCUUUUCAAAGUUUGCUGAUAAAGGCCUUCGUUCCAUCCCGAGUUUGACGAGACCUCUUUCAACAAUAUCAAAGAACGUAUUCAAAGAUGCAGACUUGAGUCAUCUUAGAAUCCGGCUUACAAAAUAUACUAAGGUUUUCCUUUCCCAUUACUUUAUCCCUGUUUUCUGUAAGCAUCCUGAGUGGAAUCUUGUGUUGUUAUCCUAUUCAAUUUUUGAUUGUGUGGUUCAUUGUAUUCAGAUUUUAUAUACACUUGUUAAUUGAUGUAUAGUUAGUGGUCUAUCUUGUACUUACCUGGGGGCCCUCUGAUGGCACUCCUUAUAUGGAACAGAUAUCAUAUAUGUGGUAGUGAGAUGGGUGACAAAUAAACACGACAUUUGUGGUUUUAUGCAGCGGUUAUUAGACCAGUUGUACUUUAUGGAACUGACUGUUGUGCAACUAAAAGAUAAUUUUCACGAGUAUUAGAGUCUGUUUCCGGAUAAUUAGUUUAUUACCUUGUAUAGGCUAGCUAUCACACAAAAUCGGGAUUAAUUCCCAUUGUAUAUUUUCCUUAUAUAGCUUUGUACCAUCCUAUAAAUUAAAAGGCAAUACACAAUAGAGAGGAUUCAGCAAAAUCUGUCAAUGAGAUGAAUGAAAUACAAAUGAUGAUGUGAGAAGGAUGUGUGGCUAUAUUAGAAUAAAUAAAAAAAGAAAUAAUGGUAUGGUCCAACAAAGGAGGUAGGGCUAAUUGAAAACAAAGUAAAUAAGUAAUGGAAUAACGACUUAGAUGGUUGGGCAUGUUUAUGUUUAGUAUAAGCCUAAAUAAGUCUUCAUUUACAAAAGUAAUUCAGUUUGUGUAGAAUGUGCUAGAAGAGGGAGCCAUAGACCAAAAUUAACUCGGACUAAUAUGAAAGAUUUGAUAUCAUUGAGCCUUAGACCAAAAUUAACUUGAACUAAUAUGAAAGAUUUGAUUUUAUUAGACCUCUUAUAAGAUGCAUUGCUGGAUCAAAUAGUGACAAAAUGAUUCGCGUAUUGACACAAGGUAGUUGGAAAUAAGACCUCUUCUAGCUUCCUGAUGUCCUUUUACUCAUUUCUCUUCUGUAAGCUGCCUUUAUACAAUUCUGGGGACCUUAAUGUUGAUCUCUUCUCGUUGGUGUCUUGGAGAUACUAUGGAGUAAGCUUAUCAAGACCUGUUUUGCAACCGGCUUUAGGAAUAUGCUCAUGCAAGAUUCUUUCUCCCAAAUCAGUGGCAUUUGAAAGCCAAAGGGUUGAUAGAUUCUUGUGGAGUUUUAAAGAGUGGUGUUCAUGUCAUUUAUUUCUUGGAGAUGCUUUUUUCAGGAACGGGUGAUUGAUUUUUGACCUUUCUGAAUUAGAAUAGUUUCCUGAAAUGUUUGCUCUCAUAACAUGAUCUCCCUGUGAUAUGGUUUGGUUAGUGGAUCUUAAUCUUACUAGUCCGUGUUGUCAAUUGUGAGGAACGUAUUCACCAUGGGACAUUCAUGAAUACUUCAAUCUCCUAGUGAUAUUGUUUGAUGGCUGACUCCAAAUGCAUGCAGUGAAGUUAGGCUAGUAUUUUAGUUUCUCACAAAUUUCCUCAAGGUCCACCGUGGAAUUUGUAAUGCACAUGCUUUAUGUUUUACAGGUCAUUUUAGUCCAUGAAGCACAAGGUUAUAUAGCUUAGGUGGUUUGGUCUGCUUAAAACGGGAUUUUAGCCUUGGGAGACAUCAAUUGAACAUGAAUUCUAUCUACUUCCAGUUAUGUUUGUUGUGUUUAAUGCGCUUUUUUGGGGGGGGCGGGGGGGAGGGGUUGAAACUUGCAUUGUUUAGGACAAUGGAUGCCGCUGUAUGAAGUUUUGGAUUAAAUAGUUCGUUUCACUUUAAGAGAGCAGUUAUCUGACUCUAAUUGAAUUUCCUGAACCACUAGAAUAGUGUAGUAACAUGUUCAUAUUUCCAUUACUUGCUAGAAGUUUAUGGACAGAAUGGUGUCAGCUUAAUCAUUUUUUGGGUGUUUGCUAUUGAUUUGAAGGAAAUUUGGUUAAAGACGCUUGUUUAAGAAAGUACGUCUUUGUUGUACUCACAAAUUAGCCUGGAACUUAGCAUUCAUAAGUUACACUGAUAAUUAAAAGAGAGAAAUACUCACUGAUGCAUUUGAUGUGUGCAUUUUUCAUGUAAUGCACAAAUUGAUCACAAGUGUUAAAAAUUUAAUGUAAAUGCAUAGAGCCAGCACAUUCAAGUAGUCUUGCAGUGCUAAAUUAGAUAAAAAAUAUCCGUAUUGAUUUUCUGAAAUUUUACUUUUUGAAGCACGUGCUUCUAAACUAUUCUUCCCCAUUAAUUUGUGCAGAGAGUGGAUCUUUCCAGCUGCCCACAGUUCACACCAUCACUUGUUCUCCUGUCGAUGCUUCCUUUUUCAUGCUAUGCAGGUCACAUGCUAGAAAAGAGCAUUAAGGAAUCUUUAAUUAACCGUGUGCGUCUAAAAGAGGACGCCUUUCACGUAUCACAAGCAUUGGGGCUAAUGUUGACUUUUAUUGAAGUAGAAGAGGUGGAUAUUUCAAAUUGUCCAAUGCUACAUCUUGAGGCUGCCAUUGAGUGCUUCUGCAAGUUCCCAUCAUUAAGAAAAUUAAAGGCAGCUUACUCUUUAGACUUCAAAACAAAGAUGAUGUGUCAAUUGGUACAAAAGUGCCCACUACUCUCUGACAUUGACCUAACUGUGGAUGUUACUCCUGUUAUACCUGGACGCGUGUCAAUUGUAUCUUCCUGGCCGGCCUUGCCACAAAGAUCUACAACAUAUUUCAACCUUGAUAAUUGUUAUUCUGCUGCCUCUUUUUCAUAUAUGUCGAGGCCAUUCCUCUCAAAUAUCACGAAACUCACGUUGGAAGGCCGAACCGACAUCAGAGGUAACUCUUUUUUUGAGGGGGGGGGGGGGGGGACAGGGAGAGAGAGAGAGAGAGAGAGAGAGAGAGUGUGUGUUCCCUCCACACUGCAGUCCCACCCCAAAGAACAAUGAACCAUGAUGCAUAUUUGUAUGUAUACAUAUAGGUGUAUCCUAGUCUCCUUUGCAUCCGAUGUCAUUAUUUUCACCUUUUUGGAAAUUCUUUUGGUUGCUUAAAAAUUAAGACAUUCAAUUUCAAUACAUAAAAGAAUUGGAUCUUAAGAGAUUCUCAUGCAAAGGGUGCCAGCUAGGAUUAUUUUGCUUUGAUCAAGAGUGUGUGUACCUACUACCCACCAUUCAUUGAACAUUAACUAGGUAGAUGGUCGUAGAUGUGGCUUGCUGCAUAUUUUUAGGUUGGAAAUCAUCUGUUACCGAACUGUUGAUGUAAGGGAAGAAGUCUGUUUGCUGUUUUCUUUCAUCUAUGCACUUCAAUGUGUAGCAUGUCCUCCACAGGUGUAAAUCAACAAAAUGAAAGAGAAAAAUGCAUAGACAAUAUAACAAGGAUGCGUCUUGUAAGUUCUUUCAGAAUAUCAAACAUAGGAGAUUGCAUUGCUAAAAAGCUCGUUUUCAAAUAGCAAAGAUAACUAAUGCUACUAUGGCAAUUGUAGUUGUGGAAAAAAGAAGCAAGUGGUGUUAUGGAAAUAUGUUAAUAUACGAAAGGUCAUACAGAAUUUUAACAUGGUAAAGAUUGGGCCUUCUUUGAUUAUAUAAGCUAAAACAAUAUUUAAAAAAUGUUUUGAGGCUGCACCUGGAGUCCUGCCUAACAUGAGGCUCUCUUUAAAAGCAUCAAAGCUCAUGCCUUGACUUAGUGAGGCUUACGCCUUAAGAAAAGCACCAUGCAACUUCAUAGUUGAAAACCUUUCAGAUGGCAGGAUCAAAGCCAAUCUUACAAGCAUACCAAUGGACAUAUAAUCCCUUUGCUGCUAACUUCCAAGCUAAUUCCACUAAUUCCUUUCGUUUCGAAAAACUCCUCAUCCAACAAAAGCAAAUUUAGUUCUCAAAUUGAUUAUCAAGUGCUAAGAGAUCCACUAUAGAACAGGCUGACGGAUAAAACUUAACCAAAUAAAACUGUUCGUCGAAAGAGUAAAAUCAAUUGUUUGGACUUGAGUAAGCUACAAAAAUAAGUAACUCCAUAUUCACCAUUGUAAAAUGAUUAUCAAGUUCUUGAAGUUGCAUCUCCACAAUCUGUUGAAUGUUUCUACAGGAUAACGGUUUAAAUUUUUGGUUUGUGCUAUAUAUCGUGCCUUAGGCUUUAAAGAUAUGAUCCAUGUUGGGAAUAGGAUGCUCUAUUUCUUCUUAUUAUCUGCAAUCUUUAUUGGCAUAUUUUAAGUAAUAGCAUUUAUGUAUCUUGAUCUUUUGCUAGCAAGAGCUUUUACAACUCAUUAUUACGCCUUAUUUUUAUCAGUAUAUGGGGGCUUCUAUGCGUUUCUUUUAAUUGGCCGGCCUUGUAAAAUUGAACUAUUUUUUGUUGGUUCAACAGAUUCUGAUCUCCAUGACAUCUCAGAGUUCUGUGCUUCCUUGUGCUACCUUAACCUUAACGGGUGUACUUCAUUGACGGACAAUGGUUUAUCAGUAAUAAUUCUGAAAUGUAAAAAACUACACUCAGUUUUGGUGUGUGAUACUUCUUUUGGGAAUAAUUCAAUUCUGGCACUUUGCUAUGGGAUUUCUGUUGCGGAAUCCAAAAGAGGAAACUACUCUCACACGACGGCUUCGAAGUGUCAAACCCUGCAUAUUGGUGGCUGCAAUGGUGAGCAACAUUUCCUUUGUCCACUCUCACCCUCUUUUAUUUUCAGUAUUCCAGGAAAGUAAAGAGAAAUUCAAUUUUCAAAAGUUUUUUAUGUCAGUAUGUGUCAGAAGUUUUUCUGAUGGAAAUGUGUUUUUUUUAUAAAGUCUUUCAUAAUAUCAGAGUGAGCAUGAUUUUAUAUUUGGUUCACUUGAGUAUUUUUGAGACUUUUUCCUCAUUUGAGUAUAAUCUCAAUUGAUGUGUCUGCCAGUAUCUUUGAUGGUAUACACAAUCAAAUAUGUAUAGCUAACAGCUGGAAUACAUUAUAGUACACACGCAUCAAAUAUGUUUAACUUAAUCUUGUGAAUGUCAUAUAUACAAUUUAUUCUCAACACUAUCCACUUCUUCCCUUCUUUGGCAGGGAUAAAUGAAACAGCUUUGUCAGAGCUUCUCUCUGGAGCAAAUAAUUUGACGAGUCUGUGUUUGCGGGAGAUUCAACUUGAUGACAAUGCUCUUUAUUGUUUUUCAGGAUCCUCCUUGGAGAUGCUUGAUAUUUCUGAUACAAAGGUGCAGAGGCAGUCUAAAGGGAAAUUUUGUUUGUUUCUAGAAAGGAUUCCUCUAAAACCAUUCACUUUUUAUCAUGGAAUUCAUAUAAAUCACUUUACCUAAGAUCUCUUAUGAAUGCGGCAACUGGAAACUUGAACUGAACAUUGCAUAUAGAGUUUGAACUUCUGUUUUCACAACCUGCUUUCACCCGUCAAACCUAAGUCUGAAUAUCUGAAAAUCUUUAAAGCUUUUUGGGCUAGGCUAACUGAAAAACUGGGCUGCUAGAUCUUGUUUUUUGGAAGUUGACAGUUAACCUUUCAAAAGAUAUGUAUAUUUGUCAGAUACAUAAUUUUUCUGCAUGAGUUGCAAGAACUUCACGGUGGUUCAUUAGUUUCAUAUCAAUACCCAUCUGGAAUUGCAUGCAUCUGUCAAUUUCUUGAUGCCAUCUCUUUUAAGAGAGUACCCGUG